AUUGCCUUAGUAACGGCGAGUGAAGCGGCAAAAGCUCAAAUUUGAAAUCUGGCACCUUCGGUGUCCGAGUUGUAAUUUGAAGAAGGUAACUUUGGAGUUGGCUCUUGUCUAUGUUCCUUGGAACAGGACGUCACAGAGGGUGAGAAUCCCGUGCGAUGAGAUGCCCAAUUCUAUGUAAAGUGCUUUCGAAGAGUCGAGUUGUUUGGGAAUGCAGCUCUAAGUGGGUGGUAAAUUCCAUCUAAAGCUAAAUAUUGGCGAGAGACCGAUAGCGAACAAGUACAGUGAUGGAAAGAUGAAAAGAACUUUGAAAAGAGAGUGAAAAAGUACGUGAAAUUGUUGAAAGGGAAGGGCUUGAGAUCAGACUUGGUAUUUUGCGAUCCUUUCCUUCUUGGUUGGGUUCCUCGCAGCUUACUGGGCCAGCAUCGGUUUGGAUGGUAGGAUAAUGACUAAGGAAUGUGGCUCUACUUCGGUGGAGUGUUAUAGCCUUGGUUGAUACUGCCUGUCUAGACCGAGGACUGCGUCUUUGACUAGGA
rnacentral:rRNA from 1 species